AUGAUAUGCCGCCAAUUGUGCAAG
rnacentral:siRNA from 1 species